UCUUGUUGUGCAUCUCUGUCUUAAUAUGGCUCACAUCACUGCUGCGUUUGAAUUUCUUGCUAUAUAAAAGGUGGUGCCUACUUGUCUCCUUCCUACCUAGAUUCCCUCAGUCCUAUACUUUGUACUUAAUAUAGAUGAAGGCCUGAAGCGUUGCCACUUUUCUUUGAGAAGAGCAGCCACUAGAGGGGAGGACGCACACAGAGAAGUCCCACUCAGUGCCUUUGGUAGAAGGAGACGGCCUUCCCCACUACCCGAACCUGUCAGAAAUUCUUCUGGCACUGAGAUUUGCCAUGAUUGCUAGAGUGCAAAAGGCAACCCACUUAUUAUCUGAGCAGGAGAGUAACCAGUCCUGAAGUGAUUCUUCAGAGAUUUAUGAAGAUCAUUCAAUUACAGAUUUUUCCUCCAGAUGACUGUUUCUAAGUAAGUUGUUUGUUUUUUCUUUAACCAUGGGUAAAACGGUAGGGGAGUUCUACAAACACAAUGGCCUGUGGUCACUCUUUCAAAAUCUAGCUCAUGCCUAGUUACUGUACAGUGGACAGUGUGCACAUGUGUUCUGCUCUUCUCCAUACCCACAAAAGUGAAAUUUCUUUAAAAAAAAAAAAAAGGCUCUGCCUGAGAAACACCAUAGUUUGAGCCAAUGUGAUAUCUAUUACAGUUUGUUAAUACCUUGACACUAUUCCCAUUGUAUUUGAAUGACAAUGGCCCAAUUGUAUCUCAAUAGCAUUGGUUAACAAGGCAGUUGGUAAUUAGAUAGGGUAAUAUGAUUCCUGGUCCUCGGUAAACAUCCGGAUUUGCAAAUCUGCCACUUCUAGCUUGGGAGCUUUAUGCCGCACAUCACUGAUUAAGCCAUGUUCUUAUACAUCGGUACCUACGUCCUCCUGCUGAGCAUCUUUUCUUUGUUCCCAGUACAAGUCAGAGCUUCUUGUCAGUAGACAGAAAAUCAACAUAGCUGCCUAACUCCACAUGUGAUAUUUAAUGAAAAUGAAGUAAGGUAUAAUUUGCAUAUCUCGUGUUACUUUAUUAAACACAUAACUUAAGAAGUUGGGUAGCAAUUGUGCUACUGAAGGGUACAAGAUGAUGCUAGUCCAUGUGAGUGAUGGUAUCUGUCUGGCACAGGAAGCUGCAUUCGCCCUUGCCUGCCUGCCACCUGCUUGAAGCACAGGGCUUUCGUUAACAGUGACGGAGCGGGUCAUUUCUCCGUGCACAUCAGUUCUUGUUCUUUCUGUUAGCUCCGUCCUUUAGUGCCUGAGGAGUGGGUGAUGUGGGCCAUGAAAAGAAGGGCCACCACGUUUCCUCACAGAGGGAUCGCCACCAAGACUACAAGAGCAACUUUCGAUCCAGGGAGGAAAACCCUCCUGGAUUCAAAUUAGCAAGCUACAAAUAAAAACCUCUGUAGCACAACAGAAUUGACUUAGUCAUUGUGCACAAGAAGUGUCUUAAAAGAGAAAUAUCUAUUUUUACAAAGAAGGACCCAAGCAAAUCUAUGUAUGUUGAACACAGUCAAAGCACUCAAAAAUUUUAAAUUGGCAGUUGUGCUCCUUCAAUUUCAAUUUCCCCAUGUCUCUUCACUACUACUAACAAGUUUGCAACUUGUUUUAGUUAAUUUUGAUUUGCUUUAGCCUUAUUAGUACUGUUUAGAAAUAUUUAGAAAUAUUAAUUGAAAAGUUUGUAAAAGUUUCUGACUUGAUUCUCAGUUAAGGUCAGUAAUAACGUUAUAUUAUAAAUUAUAGGCUUGUAUCUUAAAACCUAAUACACCUUUUAACAAGCUGUGGCUCCACCCAGUCCAUUUUAUUUCAUUUUUUAUUUCUCAGGAGAGUUUUUUUGGUCCCUAUUUUAUUAUUUCCCUAACUCCUUUCUGGCCAUUUUUCUUUUCCCUUCAUUCCUCAAGCCAUUAUAUUAGUUUGCAGACCGUCUCACUGCUGAAUGUCAAUAAUAAAGCAUGGAAUACUUUAGUGCUCCCUGAGGUAUGAUGCCAUUGAUUAUAAUUACGUCCAUCCCCUCAAAGCCAGCGCUACCCACAGUUAAACAGUGGUACUUCAUAUACUUAUGCCUGAGCAACUUUACUGACAUGUAUUAAACCUAACAGGGCCAAAAAACAUGAAUAACGUUUUAUUUGUAGCAAUUCUCAGGGAGAGAUCAAUUUGCCAGGUAAAAUCUUUUAAAUAAGGCUUCAAUCAGAGCAGCACAGUAAAAUAAAGUAAAGCCUUUACCGAAAUUCCUAAUGAUUUGCACUGGAGCCCAGUUUUGGAUGAUACUAAAUUUCCCAAAGAGGAUGCUAUAAAAUCCACUUAAGUUUUUAUCUUCCAUUAAUUUUGCAAACAGAUCUGCCAGCAUGGUCGGACAGCUAGAGUUAUUUUGCUCCAGUGGUUUGUUUCUAACAGUUCAUCAACAAACCUCUUCUUUUGCAAUUCCAGGUUCUGAUUUUGUGAGCACACACCCAGAAUGAACACUGUCAAAUGUCCAGCCGGACACAGCAACCUGCGCAUCUGAAGAAAUAACAGCUGCAGGA